rnacentral:lncRNA from 1 species
UAACCUUCCCACACUGGUAAACCCUUCACUUUGACUGCCUCGUCUCCUGCUUUGUGCUCAGAACAGAGUCUUCUUCAGGCCAUGGGCUUUGACGUGAGCCACCCACCAAGUGAUGAGGGGUCCACACAGCCAGCUCUGAGUGGAUUUGUCUCUACUUGAUGUAUAUGCGUCCUUAUUUAUUGCCUGCCUUCCCGUGCUAUGUGGGAACUCCAUGUGACGGGGACUUGGUGUGGACAUCGCAGUAACCCCAGUGCCAAUAAGAGUGCUUGGGCCAUAAACAAAGACAAAACACCCUGUGGAACAGGCAAUAUUGUGGAACCACAUUGCAGAUGAAGAAAUUGAUGCUGGGAUGUGGAACAGUAUUUACUCAAGAUCGUCCAGCUGAGGAAUCUCCAUCCUAGGAUUCAAGUCCCCUGACUCCAAAUUCCACCUUGUUUCUAUGGCCCAAUGUGCCUCCCUUCCUGUAACAGAGAGAAAGGACAUCUUUUGGGAAGAGUAUCUCUUUUCGCUUUCUCCACCUCCCCACCUCGGAAACCCCUUUUGGUAGAGUCUCACCUGGCUUCCUCAUCCCUGCUCCUCUGUUCUUAUCAUGGUCAUCAGGGUCACCCAUCCCUACAUCCAGUGGCACAUCUCCCUUCUCAUCUUGCCCUACCUUCAGUGGCAUUCAGGUCGACUCCAUCCUCCUUGAAACCCUUCGUUUCUUGACUUCCCUGAGGCACAGGCUCCUGGGUAGCCUCCUCCUUCAGUGAGCACACCUGUGCCGCCUCCUUUGUUGGCUCCUUGUGUUCUAAGCAGUCUCCAUGUGCUGCAGUGCCUCAGAGCUCAGCCCUGCCUCCUCUGUUCUCCAUCUACAAACUCUUUCAUCCCAUGGUUUUCCCAUCUCAUGGUUUCCACAUGGUACUAUGUGGAAAUUACUCCCAAAAUCAUACCUCUCCUCCCCCCUGGGUUUCAGCCUUAUUUGUUUUUCCAAAAGUCUCGUUAUGGACUGAAUGUUUGUGUCCCCCCAAAAUUCAUAUGUUGAAAUCCUAACUCCCAACAUGAUGGUAUUAGGAGGUGGGGUCUUUGGGAGGUGGUUAGGCCGUGAGGGUGGAGCCCUCAGAAAUGGGUCUAGUGCUGGUAUUAAGGAGACAUGAGAGCUUGUCCUCCUCUCUCUUCCAUGUGAGGAUACAGUGAGGAGACAGCUGUCUGCAAACCAGAAAGUGAGCUCUCACCAGACCCUGGAUCUGCCAGCACCCUGAUCUUAGACUUCCCAGCUUCUGGAACCAUGAGAAAUAAAUGUUUGUUAUUUCAA